CGGAAAGGUCUCUUCGGAGACACUCGAGUGGCGAACGGGUGAGUAACACGUGGGCAAUCUGCCCUGCACACCGGGAUAAGCCUGGGAAACUGGGUCUAAUACCGGAUAGGACCACUUGGCGCAUGCCUUGUGGUGGAAAGCUUUUGCGGUGUGGGAUGGGCCCGCGGCCUAUCAGCUUGUUGGUGGGGUGACGGCCUACCAAGGCGACGACGGGUAGCCGGCCUGAGAGGGUGUCCGGCCACACUGGGACUGAGAUACGGCCCAGACUCCUACGGGAGGCAGCAGUGGGGAAUAUUGCACAAUGGGCGCAAGCCUGAUGCAGCGACGCCGCGUGGGGGAUGACGGCCUUCGGGUUGUAAACCUCUUUCACCAUCGACGAAGGUCCGGGUUCUCUCGGAUUGACGGUAGGUGGAGAAGAAGCACCGGCCAACUACGUGCCAGCAGCCGCGGUAAUACGUAGGGUGCGAGCGUUGUCCGGAAUUACUGGGCGUAAAGAGCUCGUAGGUGGUUUGUCGCGUUGUUCGUGAAAUCUCACGGCUUAACUGUGAGCGUGCGGGCGAUACGGGCAGACUAGAGUACUGCAGGGGAGACUGGAAUUCCUGGUGUAGCGGUGGAAUGCGCAGAUAUCAGGAGGAACACCGGUGGCGAAGGCGGGUCUCUGGGCAGUAACUGACGCUGAGGAGCGAAAGCGUGGGGAGCGAACAGGAUUA
rnacentral:rRNA from 1 species